AAUGAACGCUGGCGGCAGGCCUAACACAUGCAAGUCGAGCGAGCGGCGGACGGGUGCGUACUGUCUGGGAAACUGCCUGAUGGCGGGGGAUAACUACUGGAAACGGUAGCUAAUACCGCAUACCAUCAGAUGUGCCCAGAUGGGAUUAGCUGGUAGGUGGGGUAACGGCUCACCUAGGCGACGAUGCCUAGCUGGUCUGCGAGGAUGACCAGCCACACUGGAACUGAGACACGGUCCAGACUCCUACGGGAGGCAGCAGUGGGGAAUAUUGCACAAUGGGCGCAAGCCUGAUAGAGCCAUGCCGCGUGUGUGAAGAAGGCCUUCGGGUUGUAAAGCACUUUCAGCGGGGAGGCGUUACCCGCAGAAGAAGCAACGGCUAACUCCGUGCCAGCAGCCGCGGUAAUUC
rnacentral:rRNA from 1 species